CCUACGGGCGGCAGCAGUCGAGAAUCAUUCACAAUGGGGGAAACCCUGAUGGUGCGACACCGCGUGGGGGAAUGAAGGUCUUCGGAUUGUAAACCCCUGUCAUGUGGGAGCAAAUUAAAAAGAUAGUACCACAAGAGGAAGAGACGGCUAACUCUGUGCCAGCAGCCGCGGUAAUACAGAGGUCUCAAGCGUUGUUCGGAAUAACGGGGCGUAAGGCGUGCGUAGGCUGUUUCGUAAGUCGUGUGUGAAAGGCGCGGGCUCAACCCGCGGACGGCACAUGAUACUGCGAGACUAGAGUAAUGGAGGGGGAACCGGAAUUCUCGGGGUAGCAGUGAAAUGCGUAGAUAUCGAGAGGAACACUCGUGGCGAAGGCGGGUUCCUGGACAUUAACUGACGCUGAGGCACGAAGGCCAGGGGAGCGAAAGGGAUUAGAUACCCUAGUAGUC
rnacentral:rRNA from 1 species